AUGGCAGCGCUGGUUUCUUUGAUGGAGAUCGGAGGGAGCCCAGGGAGGGCGAGCCCUCAAAGCCAGCGGCGGCUCAAGCGAUGCCGAGCGCCCCGCCGGCUCCAGGCCUCCCAAACGCUGCCUGCAGCCUGCUGGGAAGCCCCGACCGGCCACGAAGGCAGCCGGGCGAUAGCCGAGAGCCCUCCACCGAAGCUCCCCGGGUCGCACAUCCCCCCGGGGCCGUCCCGCCCGCGGGGAGCUCACCUGGCGGCGGUUGCGGACAGACGGCGAGGCGCUGGCGGACAGACGGACGGGCUGAGGGGGCCGGGGUCGCCUCACGCCCCCCCCGCCCCCCUCAGGCGCCGCUCCCGGCGGACAAAAGCGGGGCGGCCGCCGCCGCCGGGCUGCCCUGGCAGGCACGGGGGGGCCGCGCUGGUGCUGGCGGCGGCUCCCGGCCCCGGCCGGCCCCUCACGGCCGCCGCCGCCGCUGCCCCGCCUGGGCCCGGCCGCGGAGCGCUCGGAGCGCGGAGCCGCCGCCGGGAGGCGCCGCUGCCAUGUUGCGGCCGCCGGGGGGGGAGAGGGGCGGUGCCGCCGGGCGCCAUGGAAACGGCUCGCCCAUUGGCUCUUCCGCCCGUCAAUCGCGGCCCGGCGGGCCAAUGGGAGGAGGAGGCGGCCAGCAGCGCGGCGUUCGGACUGGGGAUGGUGCGGCACAGCGGCGGGGAGCGGAGGGGAGGGAGGGGAGGGAGGGGAGGGGGCUGCGAGACCGCCUCGGGCUUCCCGCGCUCGGCGGCUCGCGCCCGGCCCGCCCUGAGGGGAGCGCCUCACGCCCCAGCCCCAGCCCCUGAGUGCGUCCCGAGCGUCCCCAUAAACCAGCACGGGCUGAGACCGGCCACCAGCCCUGCCAAACGCGCCUGUAAUAAAAGCAAACACGCUUGUAAUCAAAGCAUUUCCAGGGGGAAGCGCCUCCCCGCUUCGAGCGUGGCGGUGGGGAAGUCCAAUUCAGUCCUCGCAUCUCUGUCAAAUAUUUACUUCCAAAUCCUACACGUCAAAUGUUGA
rnacentral:lncRNA from 1 species